AGUGAACGCUGGCGGUAGGCCUAACACAUGCAAGUCGAACGGCAGCACAGUAAGAGCUUGCUCUUACGGGUGGCGAGUGGCGGACGGGUGAGGAAUACAUCUGAAUCUACUUUUUCGUGGGGGAUAACGUAGGGAAACUUACGCUAAUACCGCAUACGACCUACGGGUGAAAGCAGGGGAUCUUCGGACCUUGCGCGAUUGAAUGAGCCGAUGUCGGAUUAGCUUGUUGGCGGGGUAAAGGCCCACCAAGGCGACGAUCCGUAGCUGGUCUGAGAGGAUGAUCAGCCACACUGGAACUGAGACACGGUCCAGACUCCUACGGGAGGCAGCAGUGGGGAAUAUUGGACAAUGGGCGCAAGCCUGAUCCAGCCAUACCGCGUGGGUGAAGAAGGCCUUCGGGUUGUAAAGCCCUUUUGUUGGGAAAGAAAAGCAGCAGGUUAAUACCCCGCUGUUCUGACGGUACCCAAAGAAUAAGCACCGGCUAACUUCGUG
rnacentral:rRNA from 1 species